rnacentral:rRNA from 1 species
UACGGAGGGUGCGAGCGUUGUCCGGAAUCAUUGGGCGUAAAGGGCGCGUAGGUGGCCCGGUCAGUCUUUGGUGAAAGCGCGGGGGCUCAACCCUGCGUCGGCCAGGGAUACUGCCGCGGCUCGAGCACUGUAGAGGCAGGCGGAAUUCCGGGUGUAGCGGUGGAAUGCGUAGAGAUCCGGAAGAACACCGGUGGCGAAGGCGGCCUGCUGGGCCAGUUUGGCUGACACUGAGGCGCGACACGUGGGGAGCAAACAGGG